AUAAUGGAGAGUUUGAUCCUGGCUCAGGACGAACGCUGACGGCGUGGAUUAGGCAUGCAAGUCGAACGAGAAAUUCCCCGCUUGCGGGGAAGAGUACAGUGGCGAACGGGUGAGUAACGCGUAGGUAUCUACCUCAAAGACUGGGAUAGCCCCGGGAAACCGGGGGUAAUACCGGAUGUGUUUUCCGAAACAAAGGUGGCCUCUGUUUACAAGCUACCGCUUUGAGAUGAGCCUGCGUCAUAUUAGCUUGUUGGUGGGGUAAUGGCCUACCAAGGCGAUGAUGUGUAGCCGACCUUAACGGGUGACCGGCCACACUGGGAUUGAGAUACGGCCCAGACUCCUACGGGAGGCAGCAGUCGAGAAUAGUCUACAAUGGGGGAAACCCUGAUAGUGCGA
rnacentral:rRNA from 1 species